rnacentral:rRNA from 1 species
UGCUGUCGCAAUCGCCCGCAGAACCCCAUCCAACCCAUCGCUCGCUCGCCAAGAUCCAAGGCAGCCGCGACGGCUGGGAGACUGGGAGGACGCGCGCGGGAGGAGAUCCAAGGAGGCCGAGGAAGGCCCCGGCGGCGCCACUGGCCUAGAAGCCCGUGGCCGGUGACGAUAACAGAGAGGGCGUCGCCAGCUCGGACACCCCGCUCGCCUUACCCGAGGGCGACCAGUACGACGAGGUGGCGGCGGGGAGGACGAGGCCAUGGCCAGCGCACAGGACAAGUGGGCGCAACAGGAGCAGGCCAGCCCGCCAUGGCAGUGGAUCGGGGGCGACGGCGGCUACUCCUUGGUUAA